rnacentral:rRNA from 1 species
GGACGAACGCUGGCGGCGUGCCUAAUACAUGCAAGUCGAGCGGACUGAUUAAGAGCUUGCUCUUAUGACGUUAGCGGCGGACGGGUGAGUAACACGUGGGCAACCUGCCCUGUAGAUCGGGAUAACACCGAGAAAUCGGUGCUAAUACCGGGUAAUAUCUGAGAUCACAUGAUCUUAGGUUAAAAGAUGGCUCCGGCUAUCACUACAGGAUGGGCCCGCGGCGCAUUAGCUAGUUGGUAAGGUAAUGGCUUACCAAGGCGACGAUGCGUAGCCGACCUGAGAGGGUGAUCGGCCACACUGGGACUGAGACACGGCCCAGACUCCUACGGGAGGCAGCAGUAGGGAAUCUUCCGCAAUGGACGAAAGUCUGACGGAGCAACGCCGCGUGAGUGAUGAAGGGUUUCGGCUCGUAAAGCUCUGUUGUUAGGGAAGAAACAGUACCGAACGAACUAGGUCGGUACCUUGACGGUACCUAACCAGAAAGCCACGGCUAACUACGUG